rnacentral:rRNA from 1 species
UACGAGGGGGGCAAGCGUUGUUCGGAAUUAUUGGGCGUAAAGGGCGCGUAGGCGGUGCGGUAAGUCACCUGUGAAAACUCUGGGCUCAACUCAGAGCCUGCAGGCGAAACUGCCGUGCUUGAGUGUGGGAGAGGUGCGUGGAAUUCCCGGUGUAGCGGUGAAAUGCGCAGAUAUCGGGAAGAACACCCGUGGCGAAGGCGGCUCUCUGGGACGGUACUGACGCUGAGACGCGAAAGCGUGGGGAGCGAACAGG